rnacentral:rRNA from 1 species
CCUACGGGCGGCUGCAGUGAGGAAUAUUGGUCAAUGGGCGCGAGCCUGAACCAGCCAAGUAGCGUGAAGGAUGACUGCCCUACGGGUUGUAAACUUCUUUUAUAAAGGAAUAAAGUGCGGCACGUGUGCCUUUUUGUAUGUACUUUAUGAAUAAGGAUCGGCUAACUCCGUGCCAGCGGCCGCGGUAAUACGGAGGAUCCGAGCGUUAUCCGGAUUUAUUGGGUUUAAAGGGAGCGUAGACGGGUUGUCAAGUCAGUUGUGAAAUUUUGGGGCUCAACCCCCGAACUGCAGUUGAAACUGUGGUUCUUGAGUAGCGGAGAGGCAGGCGGAAUUCCUAGUGUAGCGGUGAAAUGCGUAGAUAUUAGGAGGAACACCGGUGGCGAAGGCAGCCUGCUGGACGACAACUGACGGUGAGGCGCGAAAGCGUGGGUAGCGAACAGGAUUAGAUACCCCAGUAGUC